GGAGAGGCCAUAGUUCAGUAGUAGAGCACAUACCUUUUGUGUAUGUGGUCCUAAAUUUAAUCCUUGGCCCCUCUA